UCUUUAAUGUAUAUACAAUGUCCUGUGACGUGGUUACUUGCGAUAUCGUAUAAAUAGAGACAUACUGAUCUAGUUACACACUUCAUCAUCCAUCCAACGAAGCUGAUAUACAUAAUCACCAUGAAGUACUCUGCGGCUAUUUUCACCGCUGUCAUCUCCGCUACCAUUCUCAUCAGCUGUGCUGACGUUCUGCACACCCAACAGGAACAAAGUGCUUCUUGCCCGAGUGGUUACACAGCAAAGAGAUUAAACAAUGCAUGUCAAUGUGUCCAAGUAUCAUCAACUAGGCCAAGUUGCAUUACAAAUUACAACCUGGUGGUUAAUAUCAAUGGAGAGUGCAAGUGCAGGUGCAGGACAACUAAUUCUUGUCCCAGUGGCAAUGAAUGGGACUCUAGCCUUUGUGCCUGUGUACCUAUAAAAGACGAAUGCACACGAUUAUGUCCCGUUCCUAAGAUCUUGGACAGUACGGGAUGUGCGUGUAUCUGCUGAAACUCAUGUCCUGGAGGUAUUCCCCAAAAUCUUCGCACAUGUGAAUGCGGCCCCAUUGGCCAAUGAUCAUGCAGCUCGUAUCAUCCAUACUGUAUAUGAGUGAACUUGAUCUAAUGAAUACUUAAUGUUACGAAAAGAAAAAAAACUUUAGCCUUGCUACUAGUAUUUCUAAUGUUGUACUGGUUCUCAUUAGUAUGACCUUAUUGAUUUAUAUUGCUGCAAGUGGUUGCUUUAAUUAUGCACCUGUCUAUGGUACAUACAAGUAUGAU